rnacentral:rRNA from 1 species
AGUGAACGCUGGCGGUAGGCCUAACACAUGCAAGUCGAACGGCAGCACAGUAAGAGCUUGCUCUUACGGGUGGCGAGUGGCGGACGGGUGAGGAAUACAUCGGAAUCUACUUUUUCGUGGGGGAUAACGUAGGGAAACUUACGCUAAUACCGCAUACGACCUACGGGUGAAAGCAGGGGAUCUUCGGACCUUGCGCGAUUGAAUGAGCCGAUGUCGGAUUAGCUAGUUGGCGGGGUAAAGGCCCACCAAGGCGACGAUCCGUAGCUGGUCUGAGAGGAUGAUCAGCCACACUGGAACUGAGACACGGACCAGACUCCUACGGGAGGCAGCAGUGGGGAAUAUUGGACAAUGGGCGGAAGCCUGGUCCAGCCAUACCGCGUGGGUGAAGAAGGCCUUCGGGUUGUAAAGCCCUUUUGUUGGGAAAGAAAAGCAGCAGGUUAAUACCCCGCUGUUCUGACGGUACCCAAAGAAUAAGCACCGGCUAACUUCGUG